rnacentral:tRNA from 1 species
GGCUCCGUAGCUCAGGGGAUAGAGCAUAAGUUUCCUAAACUUAGUGUCGCAGGUUCGAAUCCUGCCGGGGUCG